CUGGAAGGCUAUUCCAGGUAUCUACUACCCUUUCUAUAUCACUGUUACUGCUCCCACUGAAAGGCUAUUCCAGGUAUCUACUACCCUUUCUAUAUCACUGUUACUGUUCCCACUGGAAGGCUAUUCCAGGUAUCUACUACCCUUUCUAUAUCACUGUUACUGCUCCCACUGGAAGGCUAUUCCAAGUAUCUACUACCCUUUCUAUAUCACUGUUACUGCUUCCACUGGAAGGCUAUUCCAGGUAUCUACUACCCUUUCUAUAUCACUGUUACUGCUCCCACUGGAAGGCUAUUCCAGGUAUCUACUACCCUUUCUAUAUCCUGUUAAUGCUCCCACUAGGAGGCUAUUCCAGGUAUCUACUACCAUUUCUAUAUCACUGUUACUGCUCACACUGGAAGGCUAUUCCAGGUAUCUACUACCCUUUCUAUAUCACUGUUACUGCAUCCCACUGGAGGGCUAUUCCAGGUAUCUACUACUCUUACUAUAUCACUGUUACUGCUCCCACUGGAAGGCUAUUCCAGGUAUCUACUACCCUCUCUAUAUCACUGUUACUGCUUCCACUGGAAGGCUAUUCCAGGUAUCUACUACCCUUUCUAUAUCACUGUUACUGCUCCCACUGAAAGGCUAUUCCAGGUAUCUACUACCCUUUCUAUAUCAUUGUUACUGCUCCCACUGAAAGGCUAUUCCAGGUAUCUACUACCCUUUCUAUAUCACUGUUACUGCUUCCACUGGAAGGCUAUUCCAGGUAUCUACUACCCUUUCUAUAUCACUGUUACUGCUCCCACUGGAAGGCUAUUCCAGGUAUCUACUACCCUUUCUAUAUCACUGUUACUGCUCCCAUUGGAAGGCUAUUCCAGGUAUCUACUACCCUUUCUAUAUCACUGUUACUGCUCCCAGUGGAAGGCUAUUCCAGGUAUCUACUACCCUUUCUAUAUCACUG